rnacentral:lncRNA from 1 species
AUUAUACCUAUUUACUACCAUGACUGCAUGCAAUCUGUAACUGUUUUAUAUCUUUUAAUCAUGGUACAUGUACAUGAUGUACAUUGAACUAUUAUGUCUAUACGAUUAUUUUGUGUUUAUAUGUUCAAUUGUUGUAUGUUUGCUUUUUGUCGAGCCUUCGACUUUAGUCGAAAAAGCGAGACAUAGCGAUCCUACAUUCUGUCGGCGGCGGCGGCGUCCACAAAUAUUCACUCUGUGGUUAAAGUUUUUGAAAUUUUAAUAACUUUCUUAAACUAUCCUUGAAUUGUACGAAACUUGGACAGAAGCUUGUUUAUGUUCAUAAGAUAGUAUCCAG